GUUAAAGUUGUAGCUAAGCUCCAGUCUCCAUUUCUUUUGAUGAAGAGCUCCAAAGAUAGCUUUAAGUGAACUUUCAAAGAAUAGCUAGAAGAAAAUAUUUGAAAUGUUCCUAACACAAAUAAAUGAUAAAUGCUGGAGGUGAUGGAGACUCUAAAUACUCUGACAUCAUCACUAUACAUUCCACACAUGCAUCAAAACAGCCUGUUCCUCCCCCUCGCGAAUCUGUGCAAACAUUAUGCUUCAAUACAAACUACAAAACAAUCCCAUCUGGGAACAGAUUGCAAAACCAUCACGAUGACUUCACGUCAGUGCCAGCAUACAGCCGUGGAAUACAGUGAGCGCUCUCUGCCGCUGACAGCAAUAGCGGUGAUCUAAUUUACCCGGCGACUGGAGGAAAUUCUCUGUACAGGCUCUGGGUCCCUUUGGAUUAGUGACUUCAAGGUCAACUGGAGGAGAAA